rnacentral:tRNA from 14 species
GCCUCCGUAGCUCAGGGGAUAGAGCACCGCUCUCCUAAAGCGGGUGUCGCAGGUUCGAAUCCUGCCGGGGGCAC